UGCAGAAGAGAGUAAAGUGGCGAACGGGUGAGUAACGCGUGGGUAAUCUCCCUCCGAAUCUGGGAUAACAUUGCGAAAGCGAUGCUAAUACCGGAUGGCAUCUUGCGACUCAGGUUGUCAAGAUUAAAGGUGGCCUCUACAUGUAAGCUACCGUUUGGGGAUGAGCCCGCGUGCCAUUAGCUUGUUGGUGGGGUAAUGGCCUACCAAGGCUACUAUGGCUAGCUGGUCUGAGAGGAUGAUCAGCCACACUGGAACUGAGACACGGUCCAGACUCCUACGGGAGGCAGCAGUGAGGAAUCUUGCGCAAUGGGGGAAACCCUGACGCAGCAACGCCGUGUGAGUGAUGAAGGCUUUCGAGUCGUAAAGCUCUGUCAAGUGGGAAGAAACUGCCGGAUGAUAAUACCAUCAGGCACUGACGGUACCACUGGAGGAAGCACCGGCUAACUCCGUG
rnacentral:rRNA from 1 species